rnacentral:rRNA from 1 species
UACGAAGGGUGCAAGCGUUACUCGGAAUUACUGGGCGUAAAGCGUGCGUAGGUGGUUUUUUAAGUCCGUUGUGAAAGCCCUGGGCUCAACCUGGGAAUGGCAGUGGAUACUGGAAAGCUAGAGUGCGUUAGAGGGUAGUGGAAUUCCCGGUGUAGCAGUGAAAUGCGUAGAGAUCGGGAGGAACACCAGUGGCGAAGGCGGCUACCUGGACCAGCACUGACACUGAGGCACGAAAGCGUGGGGAGCAAACAGG